ACGAAGCACUUUGAUCGAUUUCUUCGGAUUGAAAUUUUAGUGACUGAGUGGCGGACGGGUGAGUAACGCGUGGGUAACCUGCCUCACACAGGGGGAUAACAGUUGGAAACGGCUGCUAAUACCGCAUAAGCGCACAGUACCGCAUGGUACAGUGUGAAAAACUCCGGUGGUGUGAGAUGGACCCGCGUCUGAUUAGCUAGUUGGCAGGGCAACGGCCUACCAAGGCGACGAUCAGUAGCCGACCUGAGAGGGUGACCGGCCACAUUGGGACUGAGACACGGCCCAAACUCCUACGGGAGGCAGCAGUGGGGGAUAUUGCACAAUGGGGGAAACCCUGAUGCAGCGACGCCGCGUGAGCGAAGAAGUAUUUCGGUAUGUAAAGCUCUAUCAGCAGGGAAGAAGAAAUGACGGUACCUGACUAAGAAGCACCGGCUAAAUACGUGCCAGCAGCCGCGGUAAUACGUAUGGUGCAAGCGUUAUCCGGAUUUACUGGGUGUAAAGGGAGCGCAGGCGGAAGGCUAAGUCUGAUGUGAAAGCCCGGGGCUCAACCCCGGUACUGCAUUGGAAACUGGUCAUCUAGAGUGUCGGAGGGGUAAGUGGAAUUCCUAGUGUAGCGGUGAAAUGCGUAGAUAUUAGGAGGAACACCAGUGG
rnacentral:rRNA from 1 species